UACAGAGGUCCCAAGCGUUGUUCGGAUUUAUUGGGCGUAAAGCGUCUGUAGGUGGCUUUUUAAGUCUGCCGUCAAAUCCCAGGGCUUAACCCUGGACAGGCGGUGGAAACUACCAAGCUGGAGUACGGUAGGGGCAGAGGGAAUUUCCGGUGGAGCGGUGAAAUGCGUAGAGAUCGGAAAGAACACCAACGGCGAAGGCACUCUGCUGGGCCGACACUGACACUGAGAGACGAAAGCUAGGGGAGCAAAUGGG
rnacentral:rRNA from 1 species